UGGGGAAUAUUGCACAAUGGGCGCAAGCCUGAUGCAGCCAUGCCGCGUGUGUGAAGAAGGCCUUCGGGUUGUAAAGCACUUUCAGUCGUGAGGAAGGUGGUAGUGUUAAUAGCACUAUCAUUUGACGUUAGCGACAGAAGAAGCACCGGCUAACUCCGUGCCAGCAGCCGCGGUAAUACGGAGGGUGCGAGCGUUAAUCGGAAUUACUGGGCGUAAAGCGCAUGCAGGUGGUUUGUUAAGUCAGAUGUGAAAGCCCGGGGCUCAACCUCGGAAUAGCAUUUGAAACUGGCAGACUAGAGUACUGUAGAGGGGGGUAGAAGUUUCAGGUGUAGCGGUGAAAUGCGUAGAGAUCUGAAGGAAUACCGGUGGCGAAGGCGGCCCCCUGGACAGAUACUGACACUCAGAUGCGAAAAGCGUGGGGAGCAAACAGGAUUAGAUACCCUGGUAGUCCACGCCGUAAACGAUGUCUACUUGGAGGUUGUGGCCUUGAGCCGUGGCUUUCGGAGCUAACGCGUUAAGUAGACCGCCUGGGAGUACGGUCGCAAGAUUAAAAGCUCAAAUGAA
rnacentral:rRNA from 1 species